rnacentral:rRNA from 1 species
GACGAACGCUGGCGGCGUGCUUAACACAUGCAAGUCGAACGAAGUGGAGAACGGGUGAGUAGCGCGUAAACAACCUGCCAUUCAGCGGGGGACAACAGUUGGAAACGACUGCUCAUAGCGCAUACUGAGGGAGGGGAUUGCGUCUGAUUGGCUGGUUGGCGGGGUAACGGCCAAACAAGGCGAUGAUCAGGGGCCGGCCUGAGAUGAUGAACGGCCACAUUGUGACUGGUACACGGCCCAGACGCCUACGGGAGGCAGCAGUGGGGAAUCGUGGACAAUGGGCGCAAGCCUGAUGGAGCCAUGCCGCGUGUAUGAAGAAGUCUUUCGGGUGGUAAAGUACUUUCAGCGGGGAGCGGUAACCGAAGAAGAAGCACCGGCUAACUCCGUGCCAGCAGCCGCGGUAAUUC